rnacentral:rRNA from 1 species
GAUCUGGCUCAGGAUGAACGCUGGCGGCGUGCUUAACACAUGCAAGUCGAACGAAGCACUUUAUUUGAUUUCCUUCGGGACUGAUUAUUUUGUGACUGAGUGGCGGACGGGUGAGUAACGCGUGGGUAACCUGCCUUGUACAGGGGGAUAACAGUUGGAAACGGCUGCUAAUACCGCAUAAGCGCACAGCAUCGCAUGAUGCAGUGUGAAAAACUCCGGUGGUAUAAGAUGGACCCGCG